AGGGGCGCAAGGGUGGGCUGGGCAAGGCUUGGGGUGCUGCUGCCUGUGCUCUCCUCCUGGUACAGUGAGCAGGGUUUUGGUGAGAUUAACAUAUCCAGUGCUAGAAUUACUUUAUACACAUAUAAUAACUGUGCCUUGGUGCUGUAGCACUGAUUAGAUCCCGAUUUCACCUGUUAAGGUGGCACAUGGCUUUGAAGAGCUGGCAGCUUGGCAGCAUUGACUGGAGUUGCUGUAGCAAAAUCUUCAUCAGAUCUGCUGCAGUGCCAACCAGCAUUGCCUCACUCGUAGGCAAGGAUGGCUCAGUAAGGAAGUGUACUGAGCUGAAGUAGAAAUUAUAACGCUCAUAGCAGAAAUACUCUCGUGUGCUUGCUGCCCAUGCAAGUAGUUGUUGACUAGAAGACCGAGAGAUGAAACAGGUGAUGGGACAGGAGUGUGCUGAUUACCUGCUGUGAAGCACUUGGAUUCAGCUGUGGCCAGACCACCACCUGCUGUAAUUUUACCUGACUGGUGAUUACAAGUGUAGGCUUUAAUUCUGCUGACUGCUCUGUGUGCUGAUGGACACCCGCAUCAAGUGCAGCCAGGCGAGAUGAGGAACCUGAGCUCAGAAGUGACUGCUUUCUGAAAAGACUCACAAAUUCUACCCAACUUUUGUUAGAUAUCUCUAUGUCCGAGCUUUAUCGAGUGAUAGUUCAAGACUGGUUCAUCAGGACCGCUGAAAAUGCCAUCACUGUUUCUAAAAUUGAGUAACACUGUUUACAUCAAUACUGAAUAGCAUUUCCAUGGAGGAUCCCACACCCAGAUGGGUAACAUCAGUCAAUGCUCAGCCCACCGGUUGCUGGGAUAUUGGGUCAGCCAGCCCUGGUUCCCUUCAGAUCACGUGAGCAUGGAACAGUCUGACCCACCUGGGUUGCAAAAAUAACAUCCAGUAAUGAAAUGAAAACAAGCUGAAUGGCUGCAUUGAGCGGAGGAGGGCAGAGGUAGUCUCAGACAGCUGGAGCAUGUCUGGGCCAGUGUCUCACUGCUUUUCUCCCUGCUAGUUCAGUGCCACUCCAGGAAUACAGACAAUGCUGGCUACGGCUGCUUCAUAUUUGAUUUCCACACUUAAAUUCUGCUUGUUAAGUAAAACCCCAUUGUCAGGCUGGCAGGCAGCCACGCUCCCUCCCCAGCCUUGCCUCCUAGCUUCUCUGGUUGGGUGCUCAGAGCCAUCUAGCAAAGACCAGGUCUCGCUGUUCUGGUGCUGCUUGUAGCAUCACAACAAAACCUUUGGGCCCUCAUCAAUCUGUGUCUGAGGGCGGGCAGAAGCCCUGCAGGAAAGGAACGGGGUUUGGAAUGGCCUCAGCUGGGUGCUGGGUGAGCUGUAGGCUGUGCUGGGAGAGCUGGUGGCUGGGCACAGCUCUGGGAUUACUGCUGGAUAGCCUGUGAGGAGUGGAGCUCCUGGGCUCCAUGGGACCAUUAGGUCAGGGUGGAGCAUCCCGCAGUUGUAGGAUUUGCUGGCAGGGUCCGUGGGUGGUGACAGCGCAGGGCAGGCAGAGAAGCCCUGCAGAUUGGAAGCAGAGCAGUGGCUGUGCUCGUAACAAAGGAUCGCUUCAUACCCUCUGGGAAAUACCAGGCAGGGCAUGAAAAUUAUGAAUAAUAUUAAUAAAGCUGGGAGGAUUACUAAAUCCAACAGCUGUCCAGCCCUUCGUGCAAGCACUUCUGGCCCUCCCACCCCCUCACGAGCUGGUGUUGUGGCCCAAUGUGUGCCAUUGCCUGGGCACUGCUCAGUCAGCACCAAUGGCACCCAGGCAGGCAGUGCUGUGCCCCCAGAGGAUGGCUGCAGUGUCGUGGUGGGGAGCAGCAGUGUUCUGACAGCAGAUCCUUCAACUGCCCCAGAGGAGCCCACCUCUGGACUGUAGUCAUGGAAACUGCUACGUGAGUGGAUUCAGGACUGGCUCCAAACAAAGUUAAAGGGGGGAAAAAAGCCCCAGGGGACUUCUGCAAGUGAGAAAGGUGAUGUUUUCCUCAGCAGAAUGAGGUUUGGGGAUGUCUGGAGCAGCAGCGAGGCCUCCAGCUGCUGGGAAUGGAGGGAUGGAUGCUGUGCUUCCUGCCAGCAGCUGGGCUGGUUCUGCUCUGGGCUGCCCUAACUCCUGUCUAGCCAUCUCCUCCUCUCCUGUCACAUUGUCAGUGUGCUGCUGUCAGGCCUGACCAUUGAGCUGUGAUGGGCUCACACCUCUUCUGCUCGGGGAGUGGAGCUGUGUCUGUGUGGUCUUUAACUCUGCAUGUUAUUACCAGUGCAGCAUUCACAGUUGAAGAGCAGCAAGGCAAACCUUCAGGUUCUGCUUCCUCUAAUAGCCGAAAUCAAGCUGUAUAACUUCUGUAAAGUUUUGAUCAGCCCUGAGGAUGAGAGGCCCUGACCACGUGUGCUGCAAGUUUGCCCAUUUAGUUGGAAUAGAAUAACAGCAUCUCCAUGUCCAUUCCAUCAGCCAUAUGGGUGAGGGUACCAGCAAGAACAGCCCCCAGAGGAAGCAGGCAGUUACACGUGAGGACCGAUGAUGGGGCAGGCCAAUGAAAAUGGCUUUAUGCCUCUCCGUGUGCUGCCCCUGAACUACCACUUGAAAGAAACAGCCAUCCCCAUUGGGGACGUCAGCAGAGCCACCCUGCUGGCACUGACUGGGCUUGGGGGCCCUUGCCCUGACAAACCAGGGAGCAGGGAUGGAGCCCAAGAGGGGAGAGCCCAAAGAGAACCCCAGGCAGCACAGCAAGGUUAUUUUAAGGUCUGCUUCACUCUGUCACCACUCCACACAAGCAACGUGUUUGGAUUCAGCUAUUCAUUCAAAGUGCUGUCAAAGGCACAGCAGACUUGCCUUACUCUCUCACCAGCUCUCCAUCAGGGCAGGGUGUUUCAUCCCUGCCUUUAUUUCAGAACCAAUUCUGACUGGGGAGGAGUGCCUGUAUUUUUUUUAUGAGCAGACAUAAACAGGCACACUUUCAUUCAUUGAAAUGCACCAGCAGUGACUUUCAGUAAGUGAUCUUCACAGUGUAAGCAUCUUGGGCCCACAUGUAACUUAGCUCCUCGUUUCAGGGUGGUGAAUGGAAAGGAGAACUGAAGAUGUGCUAAAAGCAAGAGUCUGCCUACGAGAAGGCAGAAAGCAGCACGAUCUGGGCUGUGCCUUCUGCUGUAGCAUAGCACAGUAUGGACACUGAUCCAGGACCUUGAGCAAUAGAGCCCUGCGGUUUGGUUUCCCUUCUGGCACACUAAUUGCGUUAGGAUCUAGGUUUAUUCAUGGCACUUUCCAUUUAUGAUUUAGGGAAUUUGAAGAAUACUGUUCUUGAGGCUGAGCCUGAAGUUAUAAUCUUGGCAUAUCCAUACUAUAAAAUUCCCGUGGAUAAAAGCAGAAACAUCUGGAUUCAUGAGUGGAUGUUGGCUAGGUCCACCAGGAAAAAAAGGCCUUCAAGGGAUCCUAGGGGGUUCUAGCCAGGAUAAAUAAUACAACAAAAUAAGAGUGCUAUUAGGAGUAACUGUAAUGCGAAAGCUGAAUUAUAAGAUGAGGGCUAAGCCCUUCUCACAAUCUGCUUUUCCAG
ensembl:lncRNA